rnacentral:rRNA from 1 species
CAGUAGCCGCGGUAAUACGAAGGGGGCUAGCGUUGUUCGGAAUUACUGGGCGUAAAGCGCACGUAGGCGGAUUUUUAAGUCAGGGGUGAAAUCCCGAGGCUCAACCUCGGAACUGCCUUUGAUACUGGAGAUCUUGAGUUCGGAAGAGGUUGGUGGAACAGCUAGUGUAGAGGUGAAAUUCGUAGAUAUUAGCUAGAACACCAGUGGCGAAGGCGGCCAACUGGUCCGAUACUGACGCUGAGGUGCGAAAGCGUGGGGAGCAAACAGGAUUAGAUACCCCGGUAGUCCCUGUCUCUUAUAC